GUAAUCGGCCACAUUGGGACUGAGACACGGCCCAGACUCCUACGGGAGGCAGCAGUAGGGAAUCUUCCACAAUGGACGAAAGUCUGAUGGAGCAACGCCGCGUGAGUGAUGAAGGUUUUCGGAUCGUAAAACUCUGUUGUUAAAGAAGAACAAGUGUUAGAGUAACUGUUAACACUUUGACGGUAUUUAACCAGAAAGCCACGGCUAACUACGUGCCAGCAGCCGCGGUAAUACGUAGGUGGCAAGCGUUGUCCGGAUUUAUUGGGCGUAAAGCGAGCGCAGGCGGUUUUGUAAGUCUGCUGUGAAAGCCCUCAGCUCAACUGAGGAAGUGCAGUGGAAACUACAAAACUUGAGUACAGAAGAGGAAAGUGGAACUCCAUGUGUAGCGGUGAAAUGCGUAGAUAUAUGGAAGAACACCAGUGGCGAAGGCGGCUUUCUGGUCUGUUACUGACGCUGAGGCUCGAAAGCAUGGGUAGCGAACAGGAUUAGAUACCCUGGUAGUCCAUGCCGUAAACGAUGAAU
rnacentral:rRNA from 2 species